rnacentral:tRNA from 1 species
AGUUCCGAGGUGUUGUAGACAUAUCAAAUUGCAAAUUUGAAGAAGCAGGUUAAUACCCUGUCGGGGCUU